AUCGGCCACACUGGGACUGAGACACGGCCCAGACUCCUACGGGAGGCAGCAGUAGGGAAUCUUCCGCAAUGGACGAAAGUCUGACGGAGCAACGCCGCGUGAGUGAUGAAGGUUUUCGGAUCGUAAAGCUCUGUUGUUAGGGAAGAACAAGUGCAAGAGUAACUGCUUGCACCUUGACGGUACCUAACCAGAAAGCCACGGCUAACUACGUGCCAGCAGCCGCGGUAAUACGUAGGUGGCAAGCGUUGUCCGGAAUUAUUGGGCGUAAAGGGCUCGCAGGCGGUUUCUUAAGUCUGAUGUGAAAGCCCCCGGCUCAACCGGGGAGGGUCAUUGGAAACUGGGAAACUUGAGUGCAGAAGAGGAGAGUGGAAUUCCACGUGUAGCGGUGAAAUGCGUAGAGAUGUGGAGGAACACCAGUGGCGAAGGCGACUCUCUGGUCUGUAACUGACGCUGAGGAGCGAAAGCGUGGGGAGCGAACAGGAUUAGAUACCCUGGUAGUCCACGCCGUAAACGAUGAGUGCUAAGUGUUAGGGGGUUUCCGCCCCUUAGUGCUGCAGCUAACGCAUUAAGCACUCCGCCUGGGGAGUACGGUCGCAAGAC
rnacentral:rRNA from 1 species